rnacentral:rRNA from 1 species
GACGAACGCUGGCGGCGUGCCUACUACAUGCAAGUAGGACGCAGUUGCGAACGGGUGAGUAACGCGUAGGUAACUACCUAUUAGAGGGGGAUAACUAUUGGAAACGAUAGCUAAUACCGCAUACUAGUAGAUGGACCUGCGUUGUAUUAGCUAGUAGGUAGGGUAAUGGCCUACCUAGGCAACGAUAAAUAGCGGAACUUAGAGGGUGAUCGGCCAAACGGGGACUGAUACACGGCCCAGACUACGACGGGAGGCAGCAGUAGGGAAUCUUAGGCAAGGGGGGGAACCCUGAGCGAGAAACGCCGCGUGAGUGAAGAAGGGUUUAGGAUCGUAAAACUCUGUUGUUAGAGAAGCGGUAUCUAACCAGAAAGCCACGGCUAACGACGUGCCAGCAGCCGCGGUAAUUC